ACUGCGUCUCCCCACUAUUCACGUUUCAUAUCCCCUCGUUUCAUCUCUCUUCUUCCCCCUCAUUCCACGUUUUCUUCUUUUGCAAUUCCUCCAUAGUUAAUCGACGGCGAUCCUCUGCGGCGACAGCGUCAGCGAAUCCUCGUCGGCGGCUUCAUGAGUUCUGUGCGACAAAGUGGGAAAGCUUCGGCGCAGUCAUCUGAAGGAGUUCGAGAUACAUUCGGCAAGCGAACUGGCCCGCCACAGCCCCUCGUGGCUCGAAUACUUUAGCUUCCCUCCGAUGGGUUCGGGCGUGAACUAGCCAAUGUUGGCUCGUAGACUGCACUCCCUCCGACGAGUUCAGCCCCGGUAGACUACCAGCCACCUUCAGACGCGCUCAGGCUCGAAAGCUUGCCAAGCCCCAAGGAAACAACCUUGAACAGACCCACAGGGAAAUUAAUCCCAAAGUCGCGCCAUCCAGGAGUCGAACUCAAGACCUCCAGGAUGGUGCCAUAUCCUUGCCACCCUUCUCAACCACUUGAGCUAAGGGGCUUGGAUGUAUGGUGAAAUUUUGUUGAUGUUGGUUUGUUGAAAUUUUCGGCCAUCAUCAUUGUUGACACUGUGCAUUUCAUUUGGGAAAUUUGGGUGUUGACAUUCUGGAAUGUAUCUGAUGUUGAUGUUGUGUAUUUCUGACAUUCUGAAAUGUAUAUGAGAAUUAAAGUGACAUCUUGGCUGUGACUUUGAUGAUGAGUGUAGAAAUUUGUUGUUGACAUUGUUCUAAGUCUCUGAUCUGUUGCAUUUGCAUGCUGAUAAUUUAUCUGGGAAGUGCUACAUGUCAGUGAGUUGUUUUGUUUUGCGUUUGUUAUUGCUCGUACUGACAUUGCUUGGUUUGGUGUGUAUAUGACGUGGGAGGCCAACAUUUAGCCGGUGGGUGAUGAAAUUUGCUUAGUAACUGAAAUGGAAUACUGACGCUUUUGAAAAAGGGUGUUGAAAUUUGCGUAGAACAAUUUCGUGGUGAUAAUUUAUCUGGGAAUGGAAACAACAUGUUAGUGUAUUGUUUUGUUUUGCUUUUGUAAUUGCUCGUAUCGACGUUGCUCGGUUUACUGUGUAUAGUGACUGACAUUAUUUAUUGAUGUUUUGGUAUUUGAUCAGGAAAACGUCAAUCAAAGGGUAAAGCUGUAGAUGAGGGUGAGGGGAGUGGGAAGCGGACUAGAACAGUUGGAAAACAGUCAAAAUCUGUGCAGUCCAUGCCUAUACAAGCCGACAGAACACAACUAAUGAUCAAGAGAACAACGCGUUUUUUCUUGCGGAUCCUGAAGUCUCUCAAUGAAAAGCAGAAAGCUGCAGUCAGGCAGCUCGGCUUUGGUGGUCUUCUCGAGUACGAUGUGUCAUCUAUUCCAACAACGUUAGCCUAUUGACUACUGGAGCAUUUUGACCACCUACGGUGCAGUCUCAAGCUGCCUAAUGGUGAUGAGGUAGGGAUUGACGCGAAAGAUGUUGAGCUUAUUUUUGGUUUCCCAAAUGGGGGGAUUACAUUUCAUCGAAGUGACCGAAUGACUGGCAUCAAAUACCUAGAAACCAUACCACUUGAGGAGGAUGUUGAUAUACAUUCUAUGCAGACGAAGGUCCUGAAUGUUGAUAUACCAAGAAACCAUACCACUUUGUUGACAUUCGUUUCAGAAAAAAAAUUGAAACUGCAUCAUUUUGUUGACAUUUGUUGUAGACGCAGCGGCGGAUGGAGGUGGGGUCGAGUGGGGUCGGCCGACCCCACCGCCAUCCCUGGUGAACUGCCGGAAUACUCCUCCCAACGGCCCCCGACCCCACGGCGUUCGGAACUCUGCCCCAUGAUUCAUCUUCAAGCUGCGCGCAGCUUUUGCACC